rnacentral:rRNA from 1 species
GAUGAACGCUGGCGGCGUGCCUAAUACAUGCAAGUCGAGCGAACAGACGAGGAGCUUGCUCCUUUGACGUUAGCGGCGGACGGGUGAGUAACACGUAGGUAACCUACCUAUAAGACUGGGAUAACUUCGGGAAACCGGAGCUAAUACCGGAUAAUAUUUCGAACCGCAUGGUUCGAUAGUGAAAGAUGGCUUUGCUAUCACUUAUAGAUGGACCUGCGCCGUAUUAGCUAGUUGGUAAGGUAACGGCUUACCAAGGCAACGAUACGUAGCCGACCUGAGAGGGUGAUCGGCCACACUGGAACUGAGACACGGUCCAGACUCCUACGGGAGGCAGCAGUAGGGAAUCUUCCGCAAUGGGCGAAAGCCUGACGGAGCAACGCCGCGUGAGUGAUGAAGGUCAUCGGAUCGUAAAACUCUGUUAUUAGGGAAGAACAAACGUGUAAGUAACUGUGCACGUCUUGACGGUACCUAAUCAGAAAGCCACGGCUAACUACGUG